rnacentral:rRNA from 1 species
UAGGGAAUAUUGGACAAUGGGGGAAACCCUGAUCCAGCAAUGCCGCGUGAGUGAUGAAGGCCUUAGGGUUGUAAAGCUCUUUUACCCGGGAUGAUAAUGACAGUACCGGGAGAAUAAGCUCCGGCUAACUCCGUGCCAGCAGCCGCGGUAAUACGGAGGGAGCUAGCGUUGUUCGGAAUUACUGGGCGUAAAGCGCACGUAGGCGGCUAUUCAAGUCAGAGGUGAAAGCCCGGGGCUCAACCCCGGAACUGCCUUUGAAACUAGAUAGCUUGAAUCCAGGAGAGGUGAGUGGAAUUCCGAGUGUAGAGGUGAAAUUCGUAGAUAUUCGGAAGAACACCAGUGGCGAAGGCGGCUCACUGGACUGGUAUUGACGCUGAGGUGCGAAAGCGUGGGGAGCAAACA